UAACACGUGGGCAAUCUGCCCUUCACUCUGGGACAAGCCCUGGAAACGGGGUCUAAUACCGGAUAACACUCUGUCCCGCAUGGGACGGGGUUAAAAGCUCCGGCGGUGAAGGAUGAGCCCGCGGCCUAUCAGCUUGUUGGUGGGGUGAUGGCCUACCAAGGCGACGACGGGUAGCCGGCCUGAGAGGGCGACCGGCCACACUGGGACUGAGACACGGCCCAGACUCCUACGGGAGGCAGCAGUGGGGAAUAUUGCACAAUGGGCGAAAGCCUGAUGCAGCGACGCCGCGUGAGGGAUGACGGCCUUCGGGUUGUAAACCUCUUUCAGCAGGGAAGAAGCGAAAGUGACGGUACCUGCAGAAGAAGCGCCGGCUAACUACGUGCCAGCAGCCGCGGUAAUACGUAGGGCGCAAGCGUUGUCCGGAAUUAUUGGGCGUAAAGAGCUCGUAGGCGGCUUGUCACGUCGGAUGU
rnacentral:rRNA from 1 species